rnacentral:rRNA from 1 species
GAACCUGCGGAAGGAUCAUAUACCGAGUGCGGGUCCUUUGGGCCCAACCUCCCAUCCGUGUCUAUUGUACCCUGUUGCUUCGGCGGGCCCGCCGCUUGUCGGCCGCCGGGGGGGCGCCUCUGCCCCCCGGGCCCGUGCCCGCCGGAGACCCCAACACGAACACUGUCUGAAAGCGUGCAGUCUGAGUUGAUUGAAUGCAAUCAGUUAAAACUUUCAACAAUGGAUCUCUUGGUUCCGGCAUCGAUGAAGAACGCAGCGAAAUGCGAUAACUAAUGUGAAUUGCAGAAUUCAGUGAAUCAUCGAGUCUUUGAACGCACAUUGCGCCCCCUGGUAUUCCGGGGGGCAUGCCUGUCCGAGCGUCAUUGCUGCCCUCAAGCCCGGCUUGUGUGUUGGGUCGCCGUCCCCCUCUCCGGGGGGACGGGCCCGAAAGGCAGCGGCGGCACCGCGUCCGAUCCUCGAGCGUAUGGGGCUUUGUCACAUGCUCUGUAGGAUUGGCCGGCGCCUGCCGACGUUUUCCAACCAUUCUUUCCAGGUUGACCUCGGAUCAGGUAGGGAUACCCGCUGAACUUAAGCAUAUCAAUAAGCGGAGGAA